rnacentral:rRNA from 1 species
UACGAAGGGGGCUAGCGUUGCUCGGAAUGACUGGGCGUAAAGGGCGCGUAGGCGGAUUGUACAGUCAGGCGUGAAAUUCCCGGGCUCAACCUGGGGGCUGCGCUUGAGACGUGCGAUCUUGAGUGGGGAAGAGGGUCGUGGAAUCCCAGGUGUAGUGGUGAAAUACGUAGAUAUCUGGAGGAACACCGGCGGCGAAGGCGGCGACCUGGUCCUAUACUGACACUCAUACACGAAAGCGUGGGGAUCAAACAGU